ACCUUAGGUCAAGCAAAAUUACCCAUAGAGUUUAAGCAUAUCAGUAAGUAGAGGAAAAAAAACUUACUAGGAUUCCCCUAGUAAUAACAAGUGAACCGAGAAUAGCCCAGCUCAAGAAUUGAGUGCCCUUAGCAUCUGACUUAUAGUUUGGAGAAGCAUCCUUAAUGGCAAACUAUACCCAAGUUCCAUGGUAAAGGACAUCAAAAAAUGUGAGAGCCUCAUUGUGCCUAGACUUUGUCACACCAUAAGGCACUAUUUGUGAGUCAGGUUGUUUGGGAAUGUAGCCCCAAUCGAGUGGUAAAUUUUGUCCAAGGCUGAAUAUGGGUUAAAGACCGAUAGCAAACAAGUAACAUAAGGAAAAAAUGAAAAGGACUUUGAAAAAAAAGUCAAUGAGUGCUUGAAAUGGUCAGGAAGAAAGCAAAUAAGGGCCAAUGAUGUGCCACAGUUGGAUGUGAAAUGGCAAGAACUAGUCCACUGCUCAACUCAAGUUGUGGACCGAUAUAGGUCAUAGUGGUGGCCUAACCCUAGGCUUUCACUAUGCCUAUAGAGACAUCAUCACCAUGGUCAUGGAAUGUAGCACAUGCCAUCUUGGUGUAACUCGAUGCUAGUGUGUUCCUAGUGUUGGCUUGCAUGCUCCUCAUCUGGCUUGUCUUGAAACACAGCUAGGGGGGUCUGACAUAUGUGCAAGCCAACAGGCUAAAAACUCUAGGGCAAAAAGAAGUUGAUUGGCAGAAUCCCUCAUCAGUGCAUUGCUAAUCAACCUUGAUCUUUUAAGAAGUGUGAGCAUGUUUGUCAGGACCUAAAAAAUGGUGAACUAUGCUUGAGUAGGCUGAAGCCAAAAAAAACUCUGGUUGAGGCCCAUAGUGAUAUUGACAUGCAAAUCAUUCAUCUAACUUAGGUAUAAGUAUGAAAGAAUAAUUGAACCAUUUAGUAGCUAGUUCUUUUUGAAGUUUCCCUCAAGAUAGCUAAAGCCUUUAGCGAGUUCUAUCAAGUAAAGCCAAUAAUUAAAGGCAUCAAGGGUGCAAUCCCUUCGACCUAUUCUCAAACUUUAAAUAGGUAGGAUGACAUAGCUGCUUCAUUAAGCUGCACCAUAGAAUUGAGAGCUCUGAGUGGGCUUUUUUUGGUAAGCAAAACUAGCAAUAUGGGAUGAACCAGAAGCUGAGUGACUUUGCCCAACUGCAUGCUAACCUAGAACCCACAAAAGGUGUUGGUCGAUUAAAAUAAUAAGAUAGUAGUCAUGGAAGUCAAAAUCCACUAAGGAAGGUGUAACAACUCACCUACUGAAUCAACUAGCCCCAAAAAUGGAUAGUGCUUAAAUGCAUGACCUAUACUUAAUUGUUGGGGCAAAGCCAACCCCGAUGAAUAGGAAGGUGUAAUAGUCACCAAAAAACCAGAGGUGUUAGCCUGGGCAGAGUAGCUAUCAAUGUCAAUCUUGGUGGAAGUAGAAAAUAUUUAAAUGAAAACUUUCAAGGCCAAAGAGGGGAAAGGUUCUAUGUGAACGGCACUUAAACUUGGGUUAGUUGAUCCUAAGAGAUGGGGGAAACUUAUCUGAUAACAUGUCCAACAUGAGUUUCAAAAAGAAACUAGGUUAAAAUUCUUAAACUGAGAUACGAUGGCUAACAGCAAUGUUAGGGAGUCCGAUGACAUCAAUAAGGGCCUUGAGAAGAGUUAGCCUUUUUAUUUAAUGGCCUGCCCACCUUGGAAAUAGCUCAUUAAAGGUAAGGUCCAACAACUGAAAGAGCACUGUAUGUCAUGUGGUGUCUAGUGCACCCUCGAUAACCCUUGAAAAUCUAGAGAACUGAGUGUCAUUGGUGCCUGGUCAUACUCAUAACUGUAUCGGUCUCCAAGGUGAAUAGCCUCUAGUUGAUAGAAUAGUGUAGGCAAGUGAUGUCAACAAAAUGGAUCCAUAACCUUAGUAAAAUGAUUGGCUCUAAAGGCUGGGCAUAGAGAUCCCAGUCCUAAACUCAUCCACUGUCGAUACACUAGUCAAGCUACUCCCAUGAUAAAAGUAGGUCACCACAUGCUUGCCUAGAGACAGACUAGGAACAACUCCCUUAAAGGCCUUUCUCAAGCGAUAACAGUCAACUCAGAACUGGUAUGGAAAAAGGGAAUCUAACUAUAUAAUUAAAACAAAACAUUGUGAUAGUCCCUAUUGAAGCUCAUGCAAUGUGAUUUUUGUUCAGUGCUCUAAAUGUCAAAGUGAAGAAAUUCAACCAAGCACAGGUAAAUGACGAGAGUAACUAUGACUCUCUUAAGGUAGCCAAAUGCCUUGUCAUCUAAUUAGUGACAUGCAUUAAUGGAUUAAUGAGAUUCCCACUAUCCUUGUCUACUAUCCAGUGAAACCAUAGCUAAGGAAAUGGGCUUGCUAGAAUCAGUAGGGAAAGAGGACCUUGUUGAGCUUGACUUUAGUCUAACUUUGUGAAAUGAUUUGAGAGGUGUAGGAUAAGUAGAAACUCCUAGGCAAAAUUGAAAUACCAUUACUUUAAACAUUUUUUUACUUAUUCCAUGAAUCGAAGGCAGAGCACAACUCCUUCUUUUAGACCUAAGGCUGACAUAUCUAUUAAAAGAUAAUAUAAGUGUCCUAAGAUGAGCUCAAUGAGAAUACAAAUCUUAUGUGGAACAAAAGGGUAAAAGCUCAUUUACUUUUGAUUUCCAAUACAAAUAUGAACAUUGAAAGCAUGGCCAAUUAAUCUUUUAAACCUUCAAAAUUUGAAAAUAGAGGUGUAAAAAAAGUUACCACAAGGAUAAUUGGCUUAUGGUAGCUAAACAUUCAUAGCGACAUUACUUUUUGAUCCUUCAAUGUCGGCUCUUCCUAUUGUACUGAAGUAGAAUUCACCAAGUGUAGGAUUGUUCACCCACCAAUAGGGAACAUAAGCUGCAUUUAGAUUAUCAUGAGAUAGGUUAGUUUUACCCUACCAAUGGCAAUAUCACAAUAGUAAUUGAACCUAGUACAAGAGUAACCAUCGAUUCACACAAUUGGUUAUCGCACUUGAUUGAAAAGUUUAUGGCACAAAGUUACUAUGCAUUGGAUUAUGAUUGAAGGCCUUUAAGUUAGAAUUUGAGCUAAAAGUGAUGCAUUGGCCUAUCACCUGAUUGUCUACCUAUAAUAAGGGCCCAUGGCCCUUCAAAGGCAUGUGUCAUAGGUAUGGCCCCCUUGGAGCUCAAUUCCCACAGAGUGGUAGGUAGAAUC
rnacentral:rRNA from 1 species